rnacentral:tRNA from 1 species
GGUGCCAUAGCUCAGUAGGUAGAGCAAUGGACUGAAAAUCCAUGUGUCCCUGGUUCGAUCCCAGGUGGCACCA